rnacentral:rRNA from 1 species
GACAAACGCUGGCGGCGUGCUUAACACAUGCAAGUCGAGCGGUAAGGCCCUUUCGGGGUACGACGAGCGGCGAACGGGUGAGUAACACGUGGGUGACCUGCCCUCCAGCUCUGGGAGUAAGCCUGGGAAACGUGGGUCUAAUACUGGAUAUGACUCCAUGACGCAUGUCGUGGGGUGGAAAGCCUUGUGCGGCUGGGGAGUGGGCCCGCGGCCUAUCAGCUUGUUGGUGGGGGUGANGGCCUACCAAGGCGGACGACGGGUAGCCGGCCUGAGAGGGCGACCGGCCACAC